UUAGGGAGACCUACCCACUUAGAGAGGGAGUCGGGAGUAGGAAGUAGGGAGUCGACACUCCUGAACCUCGCUCUUCAAAUUUAUCCCCCUCCUAAGUUGGUCAUCCCAAGGUCGGUCGAGGAUUGGUGCUUGGCUUCCAAACUAAAGAGGUUCGAUUUUAUGGGCUAUUAGCUCAGGUGGUUAGAGCGCACCCCUGAUAAGGGUGAGGUCCCUGGUUCGAGUCCAGGAUGGCCCACCUUGAGAAGGGGAAAGGGAAAAGUAAAAAGGGAAGAAAUUGAUUCCACCUUUUUUACAUUUACCUUUUCACUUUUCACUUGAAUUGGGGGGUUUAGCUCAGUUGGUGGAGCGCCUGCUUUGCAAGCAGGAUGUCAGCGGUUCGAGUCCGCUAACCUCCACUGGGCGGUAGCUGAUAGCGGUUAGCUAUCGGCUAUUAAGCCGCAAUGGGCACCGGAAUUGCUCUAGCAACUUGUCUAGGGAGACUAGAGAGUCUGCUGGAGUUGAAUCCAGCCUGAACCUUGAAAACUGCAUAGAAACUUGUCAGGUAGAUGAAUUGUUUAGGGACUAGCGGCUAGUUGUUCGUCGAAUGAGGGUCAACCAAGCCACUAACUACCAACAACAGUCAUCACAGACACCAAUGAACUUUGUAAGU
rnacentral:tRNA from 1 species